rnacentral:rRNA from 1 species
UACGGAACGCAGCAGUGGGGAAUAUUGCACAAUGGGCGCAAGCCUGAUGCAGCCAUGCCGCGUGUAUGAAAAAGGCCUUCGGGUUGUAAAGUACUUUCAGUCGUGAGGAAGGUGUUAAGGUUAAUAACCUUAGCAAUUGACGUUAGCGACAGAAGAAGCACCGGCUAACUCCGUGCCAGCAGCCGCGGUAAUACGGAGGGUGCGAGCGUUAAUCGGAAUUACUGGGCGUAAAGGGCACGCAGGCGGUUAAUUAAGUUGGAUGUGAAAUCCCCGGGCUUAACCUGGGAAUGGCAUUCAAGACUGGUUAGCUAGAGUCUUGUAGAGGGGGUAGAAUUCCAUGUGUAGCGGUGAAAUGCGUAGAGAUGUGGAGGAAUACCGGUGGCGAAGGCGGCCCCUGGACAAAGACUGACGCUCAUGUGCGAAAGCGUGGGGAGCAAACAGGGAUUAGAUACC